AAUAGUUUGAAAUUUGAAGUUUUAUAAAUGUUCAAUAUUUCAUUGCUUGACAUAUCUUGGAUGUAGAUAUAAGAUGUAUAAAUUUUAUGUGAUAGUUUGUAUUUAUUUACUAUGAAUAACGGAUUUAUUAUGCAAGGCAGAGCAUUUAAAAAAUACAUAUAUAAUGCAAAAUUUCUAACAUAUAGCUUUUGAACUUAUAAUUAUAUAUCUGUUUAUUACCUAUACUGCAAAUUUCUCAUAAUAUUAAAUGGGAAUGUCAGAAGGUACUGUUUGCUAACUUAAAGUUUUUAUUUAAGAUUGGGUUUUAAAUCAACCACAUAUCAUUGCAUGUUUUAAGCAACACUUGAUAUGAGAGUAAGGAUAAUUUAAUGAGAGAGAGAAAAAAAACCAGAACAAACUUUUAAGUUAACGCAUACAAAUUAUGUAAGAUGUAAUAAGAAAUAUUACCAAAGGGAGAUAAUUUUGUUAAUAUGUAUUAUCUCCCCUUAGAAUACAGGUGAGGAUAGAUUUAUUUAAACUCAUGACAGUAAAAAAAAUGUAGCUUUAAUUGAAAUUGACUUAAGCUUCAUCUCUGACCCUCUUACAUGCCUUGAAAUAACAAACUUGAUAUUAAUAUAUAGUUAAGUAGUCAAUAGGAUGUGCUUUUUUGUGUUAGAACAUUAGAUUGAUUUUGAAUACUUUUUUCAUUAAUAUUCUCACAAUCAAUAUGGCCAAUUUUGUUGCAAG
rnacentral:lncRNA from 1 species